rnacentral:rRNA from 1 species
GCUUGUCUCAAAGAUUAAGCCAUGCACGUCUAAGUAUAAGCAUUAUACAGCGAAACAGCGAAUGGCUCAUUACAUUAGUUUUAACAUACACGAUGAUCGAUUCUACUUGGAUAACCGUAGUAAUUCUAGAGCUAAUACAUGCGUAAAGCGCUUCGUAAGAAGUGUGUGUUUAUUAGAUACAACCGCCCCUCACGGGUUUAGGUGAUUCAUAAUAACCGAACGAACCGCGUUCAGCGGUGAUUCUUUCUACAUUAUUCCCUAUCAGCUUUCGUUUUUUGUGUAGUGGACAAAAAAGGCUUUGACGGGUAACGGAGAAUUAGGGUUCGAUUCCGGAGAGGGAGCCUGAGAGAUGGCUACCACAUCCAAGGAAGGCAGCAGG